rnacentral:rRNA from 1 species
CUGGGCUAGACAACGGCGGACCGUCCUAGAAAUAGGAUUUUCCCUUCGGGGACUGCCGGUUCAGGUGCUGUAUGGCUGUCGUCAGCUCGUGCCGUGAGGUGUUGGGUUAAGUCCCGCAACGAGCGCAACCCUCGUCCUUAGUUGCCACCAUUCAGUUGGGCACUCUAGGGAGACUGCCGGCGUUAAGCCGGAGGAAGGUGGGGACGACGUCAAGUCAUCAUGGCCCUUAUGUCCAGGGCCACACACGUGCUACAAUGGACGGUACAAAGGGUCGCAAACCCGCGAGGGGGAGCCAAUCCCAAAAAGCCGUUCUCAGUUCGGAUUGGAGUCUGCAACUCGACUCCAUGAAGUUGGAAUCGCUAGUAAUCGCGGAUCAGCACGCCGCGGUGAAUACGUUCCC